rnacentral:sRNA from 1 species
GUCCACGCCUUGUGGCGGCUUACGGAGCUGCUGCUUUGGCGGGAGUUGGCGGCUGGUGUGAGGCUCUCAUGGCCACCAUGUUGGAAGGCAGAUGCCAAACUCAGCCAAGGAGCAGCCCCAGUGGCCGAGAGACUAGCCUGUGGUCCUCAGGCUUUGGGAUGAAGCUGGAGGCUGUCACUCCAUUCCUGGGGAAGUAUCGCCCCUUUGUGGGUCGCUGUUGCCAGACCUGCACCCCCAAGAGCUGGGAGUCCCUCUUCCACAGAAGCAUAACGGACCUAGGCUUCUGCAAUGUGAUCCUGGUGAAGGAGGAGAACACGAGGUUUCGGGGCUGGCUGGUUCGGAGGCUCUGCUAUUUCCUGUGGUCCCUGGAGCAGCACAUCCCCCCCUGCCAGGAUGCCCCACAGAAGAUCAUGGAAAGUACCAGGGUACAGAACCUCCUCUCAGGGAGGGUCCCAGGAGGCGCUGGGGAAGGCCAGGUGCCCGACCUUGUGAAGAAGGAGGUACAGCGCAUCCUGGGUCACACCCAGGCCCCACCCUGUUCCUUCCUGGUCAGGCUGUUCAGCUGGGCGCUGCUGCGGUUCCUGAACUGCCUCUUCCUGAAUGUGCAGCUCCACAAGGGUCAGAUGAAGAUGGUCCAGAAGGCCGCCCAGGCAGUAAGGCCCGCCCUCCAUUGGGAUGGGGAUGGUGGGAGCAGAAGAGCAGAGGCUGGACCAAGCCCUUAAGUCGGGAGCAGUCCCCAUCUGGUCCUGCUUCCUGGCCUCUCUGCUCCCAGCCAUACAGCAGUCCAGUCCCCAUCAGCUGGUGGGAAAAAUCCCCUGCUCUUUGCCGACCUUCCCUUUAUGUCUCACGGCCCUGCUCCCGCGGGGCUUCCUCUAACGUCUUUCCAUCAUGGUCUCAACAACCAUUACGUCAGUGCGUCAGUGCAAUUACCUUAAAAGUUGUCUAAAGGCUCCUUUGCUUUUGGGAAAUGUGCUCAGAGGAAGAACUCUGCAGCUGAACCGUCCCUCCCUCUGGGGCUGCCCUGGGUCUUUGGCUGCCUGUGUCCUCAGGGUGGGGCAGGUUGGCACUUCCCUCUGGCUCUCCCCGGAGCAGGGCUCGCCGCUUGUCCUCCUCUCUACUCACAAAACCCUCCUGGACGGGAUCCUGCUGCCCUUUUUGCUGCUCUCCCAGGGCCUGGGUGUGCUCCGUGUGGCCUGGGACUCCCGCGCCUGCUCCCCUGCCCUCAGAGCUCUGCUGAGGAAGCUUGGGGGACUUUUCCUGCCCCCAGAGGCCAACUUCUCCCUGGACAACUCUGAGGGGCUCCUUGCAAGGGCUGUGGUCCAGGCGGUCAUAGAGCAGCUGCUGGUUAGUGGGCAGCCCCUGCUCAUCUUCCUGGAGGAACCUCUUGGGGCUCUGGGGCCACGGCUGUCAGCCCUGGGCCAGGCUUGGGUGGGGUUUGUGGUGCAGGCAGUCCAGGUGGGCAUCGUCCCAGAUGCUCUGCUGGUACCAGUGGCCAUCACCUAUGACCUGGUUCCGGAUGCACCGUGUGACACAGACCAUGCCUUGGCCCCCCUGGGGCUGUGGACAGGAGCUCUGGCUGUCCUACGUAGUCUGUGGAGCCACUGGGGCUGCAGCUGCUGGAUCUGCUCCCGGGUGCACCUAGCUCAGCCCUUUUCCCUGCAGGAAUACAUCGUCAGUGCCAGAAGCUGCUGGGGCGGCAGGCAGACCCUGGAGCAGCUACUGCAGCCCAUCGUGCUGGGCCAAUGUACUGCUGUCCCAGACACUGAGAAGGAGCAGGAGUGGACCCCCAUAACUGGGCCUCUCCUGGCCCUCAAGGAAGAGGACCAGCUCCUGGUCAGGAGACUGAGCUGUCAUGUCCUGAGUGCCAGUGUGGGGAGCUCUGCGGUGAUGAGCACGGCCAUCAUGGCAACGCUGCUGCUAGUCAAGCACCAGAAGGGUGUGUUCCUGUCGCAGCUCCUGGGGGAGUUCUCCUGGCUGACGGAGGAGAUACUGUUGCGUGGCUUUGAUGUAGGCUUCUCUGGGCAGCUGCGGAGCCUGCUGCAGCACUCACUGAGCCUGCUGCGGGCGCACGUGGCCCUGCUGCGCAUCCGCCAGGGCGACUUGCUGGUGGUGCCGCGGCCUGGCCCAGGCCUCAUGCACCUGGCACGGCUGAGUGCUGAGCUGCUGCCCGUCUUCCUGAGCGAGGCUGUGGGCGCCUGUGCGGUGCGGGGGCUGCUGGCAGGCAGAGUGCCGCCCCAGGGGCCCUGGGAGCUGCAGGGCAUGUUGCUGCUGAGCCAGAAUGAGCUGUACUGCCAGAUCCUGCUGCUGAUGCACCUGCUGCCGCAAGACCUGCUGCUGCUAAAGCCCUGCCAGUCUUCCUACUGCUACUGUCAGGAGGUGCUGGACCGGCUCAUCCAGUGCGGGCUCCUGGUUGCUGAGGAGACCCCAGGCUCCCGGCCAGCCUGUGACACAGGGCGACAGCGAUUGAGCAGAAAGCUGCUGUGGAAACCGAGUGGGGACUUUACUGAUAGUGACAGUGAUGACUUCGAAGAGGCUGAGGGCCGGUACUUCAGGCUCAGCCAGCAGUCACACUGCCCAGACUUCUUUCUCUUCCUCUGCCGCCUGCUCAGCCCGUUGCUCAAGGCCUUUGCACAGGCUGCCGCCUUGAUACUGGUGAGACCCUUGUUCCCUUGCAGUCCUCGAGGCAGGCUCUGUCUGUGCUGGGCGCCAGGUCUAGGUCUUCUCUCUUCUGCAGUCGGGCUACACAGAGCAGCUGUUCCAGUUCCUGCAGGCCACCGCCCAGGAAGAAGGGAUCCUCGAGUAUGCGGACCCAAAGCUCGCCAUCAGUGCUAUCUGGACCUUCAGAGACCUAGGGGUUCUGCAGCAGACGCCGAGCCCUGCAGGCCCCAGGCUCCACCUGUCCCCUACUUUUGCCAGGCGGGACAAUCAGGAAAAACUAGAACAGUUCAUCCGGCAGUUCAUUUGUAGCUAGAACUGUGAGGAGGAGCCUGUGCUGAGACUUCUCAGCCCCAGAACACAGCUGUGUCCUAGAGCCAGAAGAUGGAGAGGAGCCUGCAAACCCUUAGCUGGUCUAUAAAUAUAAUCAUUGAGGCUUGAUUGUCCCUUGCCAUCUCUUGCUUUCUCCCUCCUUUGAUGUGAUAAACAAGGGGACCAGACGAGUUGUCUUUUCCCAAGCCCAGAAGCA